GGAAAGUGUUCACACCUAUAAUCCCAGCACUUUGGGAGGCCGAGGUGGGAAGAUCGCUGGAACCCAGGAGUUCAAGACCAUCCUGGGUAAGAUAACAGCACCUCAGAGAAGAUUUGGAAAAUAAAUGAGCUGAUAAGAGCAAUUUUCUGCUUCCUGGGCCACCACAGUCUUCUCUGCUGUUUUUGAUUGAAACCAUUUUCAGAGAAGAAUCAACACCAAAGAUUACAUGUAUAUAAAUUACCUAGUAAUGAGCAUGACCUCUGUCCAAGCAGAAGGCAAGCAGGGGAGAAGAUUUAGCUGCCCAACUACAGUUAUUCUCUCAACCCAAGCUAAGGUAGUUGGUGCCAUACAUUUCCCACAGGACUACUAUUUUCCAAUAUCAACAUCUUUUAUUUAUUUAUUUAUUUUUGUUUUAGUGCACUAGCUGGAACUUUCAAUGUAAUGUUAAAUACAAAGGAUGAGAGUAAAUAUUCUUACAUUUUUCCUGGUCUUAUGAAGAAAGAAUUUUCUUUCACCAUUAAGUAUUAUGUUGUCUGUAGGUUUUUCACAUAUGUUCAUAGUGGGUUAAAGCACUCUCUUUUUAGUCCUAGCUGAGAGUUUUAGGUUAGGAAUAAGUAUUAUUUAUUAUUAUUAUUAUUUAUUAUUAUAAAUAAAAUACAUUUAUUACAUUAAA
rnacentral:antisense_RNA from 1 species